rnacentral:lncRNA from 1 species
AGGAAGUUCAGAGGGAUAUGAAGCUUGUUCCUUACAAAAUAGUGAAUAAAGAUGGAAAGCCUUAUAUCCAAGUCAAAAUUAGGGAUGGUGAGACCAAAGUCUUCAGCCCUGAGGAAAUCAGUGCUAUGAUUUUGGGGAAGAUGAAAGAAACAGCUGAAGCAUUCCUUGGGAAGACGAUUAAGGAUGCUGUGGUAACAGUUCCUGGUAAGCUGUCUUUAACUUAUCUUUUAUUGAAACAUUAACUGCAAUGACAUUUUGAGUAUUUGGUCAUACUGACCAUUUAUUUGUGGUUGACUGGCAGCAUAUUUCAAUGAUGCCCAGAGGCAAGCUACCAAGGACGCUGGUGUAAUUGCUGGCUUGAAUGUGGCAAGAAUUAUCAAUGAACCAACAGCAGCAGCAAUUGCCUAUGGUUUGGACAAGAAAGGUGGUGAGAAGAACAUCCUUGUCUUUGACCUUGGUGGUGGAACCUUUGAUGUCAGUAUCUUGACCAUUGACAAUGGUGUCUUUGAGGUGCUUGCCACUAAUGGAGAUACCCAUCUUGGAGGUACAGAUCUUUCUUUUUAUCAGCUCUGCUCCAAUAUAUAUAAUAAGUGCAUUUAUUUAGUAAAUCAAUGUUUGGAAACUGAUCUAUCCCACCUGGAAGCGGAAGUGAAUCAUGCAGUUAUAGUAAUGAAAAUUCAAAUAUUUAUACAGACAAUCCUUGAACACAGUUUGUCAAUGAUAUAGCUGAGAACAUCAACUGGAUUAUGAUCCAUUUAGCAAUCUGAAAUAUAUAUUGUUCAGAGACAUCUCAUGAUAAUAUGUUAAGUUUGAUAUCAACAUUUAAAAUUGUACAGUGUAAAUACCGGUUAUUCACUGGACGUGAUUAUUCUGCACUGCGAAGAGGAAAGGGUAGAAUGAUCAUUCUAUGAGUUCUUGUGUUGUACAAUAUAUGAAAGUUUCAUUUGUUGUGCAGGAGAGGAUUUUGAUCACAGAAUUAUGGAAUACUUCAUCAAGUUGAUUAAGAAAAAGCACGGAAAGGACAUCAGUAAAGAUAACAGAGCUCUUGGGAAGCUAAGGAGAGAAUGUGAACGUGCAAAGAGAGCCCUGAGCAGCCAGCACCAAGUCCGUGUUGAAAUUGAAUCACUUUUUGAUGGUAUAGAUUUCUCUGAACCAUUGACCCGUGCCAGAUUUGAGGAGUUGAACAACGACCUCUUCAGGAAGACCAUGGGACCUGUGAAGAAAGCCAUGGAAGAUGCUGGUAUGGAGAAAAACCAGAUUGACGAAAUUGUCCUUGUUGGUGGAAGCACCAGGAUUCCUAAAGUUCAGCAGCUUCUCAAGGAUUAUUUCGAUGGAAAGGAGCCCAACAAGGGUGUGAACCCAGACGAGGCAGUUGCUUACGGUGCUGCUAUCCAAGGAAGUAUUCUGAGUGGAGAGGGUGGUGAAGAAACCAAAGGUACUUAUUGCAUGUGUUGUUAUCUUGUGGACCGAUUCAAUGCUGCUUGUUUUCUUGCUAUUAAUCUUGAUUUAGUGAUGUUUUAGACAGCUUUGUCUGAAUUGAUGACCGAUGUGUGUGCAUUUGUGUGCAGACAUCCUUCUCUUGGACGUUGCACCACUCACCCUUGGUAUUGAAACUGUUGGUGGAGUUAUGACCAAGUUAAUUCCGAGGAAUACUGUUAUCCCAACCAAGAAGUCUCAAGUUUUCACAACUUACCAAGACCAGCAAACUACUGUCUCAAUCCAGGUAACGUGUUCCUAGCCAAAAUAAUUCUUACCCUGUUUGUACUGUUAGGUAAAUGGAUGAUUAUGUCCUCUGUAAAAUGGCAUGCUUGCGCUUUAGCUGAGUGUCCGACAAUUUGAUAACAGGUAUUCGAAGGAGAAAGGAGUCUUACAAAGGACUGCAGGCUGCUCGGAAAGUUUGAUCUCACCGGCAUUCCUCCAGCACCGAGGUUUGUUGCAUUCUUUGGAUAAAUAAUUUGUUAUGACCGAACUUGAUGUUAUAUUUUGUUAUCUGAAGGAUCCUGUGUUCUAUUUGAACAGGGGAACCCCUCAAAUUGAGGUUACAUUCGAAGUUGAUGCCAAUGGUAUCCUGAACGUCAAGGCAGAAGACAAGGGCAGUGGUAAAUCAGAAAAGAUCACCAUCACGAACGAGAAGGGUAGAUUGAGCCAAGAGGAGAUAGAUAGAAUGGUUCGUGAAGCAGAAGAGUUUGCCGAGGAAGACAAGAAGGUGAAGGAGAGAAUCGAUGCUCGUAACAGUCUCGAGACAUACAUAUACAACAUGAAGAACCAAAUCAACGACAAGGACAAGCUUGCCGACAAGCUCGAGUCUGAUGAGAAGGAGAAGAUCGAGACUGCUACGAAGGAGGCCCUCGAGUGGUUAGACGACAACCAAAAUGCCGAGAAAGAGGACUACGAAGAGAAGCUUAAGGAGGUGGAAGCUGUAUGUAACCCAAUCAUCACAGCCGUCUAUCAAAAAUCUGGAGGAGCACCUGGUGGAUCCUCGUCGGAAGAUGACGAUUCCCAUGAUGAACUGUAGGUAACUUUUUAGAGUCCAUUAACUACUGAUGACUAGUGAAGCGAGAAAAACGAAAUGGAGUUUAGAAGAGACGAGUGAUGUAAAUUUUGUCAUUUGGGGGCUGAGUCCCUUGCCUGCCUUCUUUUUCUUAAGAAGGAUUAUUUCUUUUCAAAUUACUUGUAGUUUUUGUUUUACAAGAUUCUCGAUGAUAAUUGACGCUUUGCGUAUGUAAUAUACAUUUUUCUGCCUUGACAAUAUGUUUCCUGCAGUAAAUGAGUUCGUAAAUUACGUUCAACAAACAAUAAUUAGUAAAAAUCUCAUAUAUUGAAUUAAUUGCCUCAAAAUUUUUGUUUGUAAAGCAAUAAUGGAGGCUUUGGGGAGCCAUUUAACUAAUAAAUAUUCUGAAGGGACGCUCAGGUCUCGAUACUCCCUGUAUAGAUGCGAUUGAGAUACUCUAUUGCAAGCAUGCAUUGGCUACUUUUGGGCUUGAUGCCUUGAUCCUGAGAGUUGUAGUGCAAACGUGAGCCAACCAUCAUUUGUUGGAAUCUUGUCGAAAAUUGUGGGUGGAUGAAUUAAAAGAGAGGAAGAUAAUGCUAUAUGUGUGGCUUAUGUGACCGCAUAAGCCUUCAAUGUUCGUGGUUGCAUAUGGUUUUUCAGUGGCCAAAGUGGCGACCGAAGCUAUAAUCAUGAGAUCGCAACGCAUGGUUAUAAAAAAAUGGCUGUUGGCUGGAAAUCUUUUUGAAUUUUUGGUGGUUUUCUUGGUGAAUCCAUGCAAAAAUGUGUUGGUAUUCGUCUCUAAACACAAGAAAAAUAUUCUAUUAUUCAUCCAAAUCUUUGAAGAGAUUAUCACAUAUUCAAAACCAUUUUUCACUUGUUCAUUUGAAGAUCACUUUUACUUUUGGUGAUCUUCUUUAAGGCUUGAUCAAUUCUACGAACUAUUUGCCAUUUAAUUCUUAAGAGCAUUGUGAGAGAAGACAAAUAUCGUUUAAGGACAAUGGUAUAAUCUUCGUGUUCAAGUCUUCUUCAAUAUAUACUUAUCUUCUUCUUUAUUUUUUUGUUCUCCAUUGCUAUAUUUUUAUAGCAUUCUUAAACGGCAUUUGUCAUUUUACUGCAAUGGAAACGGAAUCUAGACUUGCCACAAUCAAGAAGAUGAAUCAAGAUUUAGUGAGUUUGGAUAGAUUUGAUAGAUUCAACUUCAUAAGAUGGCAGAACAAACUCAAAAUUUUUUCUAACGGCAUUAAAAAUCUUCUACAUGCUUGAUAUAAAAUUGGAAUCAAUUCUCGAUGCAACGGACAAAAAUAUUGAUGAAGUUCGUGCCUAAAGAAAGAAAAGGGAAGAGGACGAACUAAUAUGUUGCCAUCACAUCCUAAAUGCUCUAUCGCAUCGAUUAUAUGAUCACUACAUCAACACGACUUCAGCAAAAGAGAUUUGGUAUGCACUUGAAAGCAAAUAUAAAGCCGAGGAGGAAAGUACCAAGAAUUUUUAUUUUCUAAAUAUUUUGAUUUCAAGUUUCUAGAUAAAAUUCAUUUGUUAUCUCGAGUGCAUGAGUUGCAAAUUAUUGUCGACAAAUUGCAAGCGGUGAAAAUUGAACUUUCGGUAAACCUUUCAAGUGGGUGCAAUCAUUGCUAAACUUUCGAGAUCUUGAAAAGGAGGAAGAAGAUUCUUCACAAUUCCAAAGAUUUUUCUUUUGAAGAUAUUUAAAAGUAUCUUCGCAUAGAGAAAGAGUCAAAGGGAAGAGAUAAGACUCAAAGUUCUUAUAAUGGCUCUUCGAAAGCUAAUGCCCUGGACAAUAUGGACAAUUCCAACAAAUAUAAAAAGAAAAGGAAACCUCUUGGUUCAAAAAAGAAUUGAGGGAAGUUCAAAAACAAAUCGAAGGGACCUUGCUAUGUUUAUUGAAAAUCGGGAUACUAUGCAAGAGAUUGUAGGCAUAAGCAAUAACCAAAUAAAGAAGGGCAAGUAAAUUCCAUAGAUGAGAUUAUUACUAUGAUGAGCCAAAUCAAUGUAAUCCAAAGCAAAGUUCCGAACUGAUAGUAUGACAUAUGUGCUAUCGUCCAUGUUUGUUAUAAUAAGUCUAUUUUCAAAACUUAUCAUUGCAUUGAAGAUGGUUAAUAGAUCCAAAUGAAAAAUGAAGGAAGAUCAAAAGUGAUUGGCAAAGGUAAUACGGAAAUCAUUUCCAUUUCGGGAAAGAAGAUCACUUUGACAAAUGUUCUUCAUGUACCAGAAAUGAUUAGAAACCCAGAAGUGGAGUUCUAUUGGAAAAACCAGGAAUUAUAAUUAUUUUUGAAUUUGAAAAACUUGUACUUACCCAUAAUGGACAUUUUGUUUGAAAUGACUAUUCCACUGAAAGAAUGGUCAAACUUUGUACUUUUGAGGAUAACUCUAAUAAAAAUAAAUUAUUUGCCUAUGUUACCGAUUCAUUUAAUUUAUGACAUGGUAGAUUUAGCAUAUAUAGGAGUUAGCACUACGAAAAGAAUGAUUAAAUGCAGAAUGAUACAAUGUGAAAUUGAUAACUUGGAAAAAUGUGAAAUAUGUAUUAAAUUGAAGACGAUUAAAAAGCCAUUUUAUAGUGUAUUAAGAUCAACAAACUUACUUUUACUUGUUCAUUCCGACAUAUGUGAAUUGAAUGUCAUGCCAACAAGAAGUGGUAAUAGAUAUUUCAUUACUUUCAUAAAUGAUGCUCUAGGUAUACUUAUGUAUAUUUGUUAAAGCAUAAAGAUGAAGUCUUUAUUGCCUCUAAAACAUAUAAAAUUGAAGUUGAAAAUCAAUUAAGAAGGAAAUUAAAAACUCUAAGAAGUGAUAUAGGUGAAGAAUAUUUUUCUAAUGAAUUCAAUAAGUUUUGUGAAUAAAAUGAAAUAAUACAUCAAUGUUCUGUAUCACGAACACCGAAAUAAAAUGGUUUAGCAGAAAGAAAGAAUAGGACAUGCUUAGAGAUGAUAAAUGCCAUGUUAAUAAAUUUUGAAUUACCAUUCAUAAAUGGAAGAAGCCUUACUUAGUGCUUGUCAUAUGGUAAAUAGGAUUCCUAUGAAAAAGAAUAAGAUUUCCCCACAUGAAAUAUGGAAAGAUAGGAAGCCAAAUAUUAAUUAUUUGAAGGUAUGUGGGUGUCUUGCUUAUUAUAAAAAGAGGAAUCCUAAGAGAACUAAAUUAGGUCCUAGAGGUAUUAAAUGUGCAUUUGUAGGAUAAGUUCUAAAUAGCAAGGCCUAUAGGUUAUUAAACCUUGAGCUAGCUGUCAUAAUAGAAUCAAGUGAUGUGAAAUUUUUCGAGAAUGUAUUAGUGACAAGAAAAUCUCAUAAUAAUGAAGACCUUCUGAAUUCUAGAGAACCACAAGCAGAGACAUUUAUAAGAGAUGUUGAAAGUGAAUCUCGAAAUAGUAAUAGAACUAGAAAAGAAAAAAGUCUAGGCUCAAAUGAAAUAGAUUCCCAACUUAUUUCUUUCCAUUUAGUAGCGGGAGAUAGUAAGGACGUUGUAAGAACAACUCCUUUUGUUCUUCAAGUGGAGAGUGAUCCUUAAACAUAUAAGGAAACAAUGUCUUCUAGAGAUUGUAUAUUCUGGAAAGAGGCGAUAAAUAAUGAAAUGGAUUCUAUUAUUUCAAAUAAUACUUGGGAAAUAGUUGAUCUACAGAAGGGUUUUAAAGCCAUUGGUUGCAAAUAUGUGUUUAGAAAGAAAUACAAUUUCGAUGAAAUACUUAAUACCUACAAAGCUAGAUUAGUAGUUAAAAGGUAUCGUCAAAAGGAAGGAAUAUAUUACUUUGACAUAUAUGCACCGUGGCUAGGAUAACCUCAAUAAGUAUAUUGUUUGCACUGACGUCAAUUUAUGAUUUACAUGUUCACCAAAUGGAUCUCAAGACGUCAUUCUUAAAUAGAGAUCUCGAAAAGGAGGUCUAUAUAAAACAAUCAAAAGCGUUUGUUGUACCGAAAAAUGAACAUAAAGUGCGCAAACUAAUGAAAAAGUGGCAUGUAAAAUUUGACUCUAAAAUAAUUUCGAAUGGUUUUAAUCACAAUUCAAUAGAUAAAUGUCUUUAUGCUAAAGUAAGUGACAGUAUAAUUACAUUAAUAUGUCUGUAUGUAGAUGAUAUAUGAAUCAUCAACUACAAUAUAGAUGGAAUUAAAGAAAUAAGAGGUUUCUGUCCUCUAUGUUCAAAAUGAAAGAUUUUGGACAAGUGAAUACUAUAUUUGGUAUCAAAGUUAAAAAUGAUAGUGGGGAUUUUACAUUGAGCCAAUUACAUUAUCUUGAAAAUGUGAUAAAUUCAAUCACUUGAACAUCAAAGAGGCUAAUACCCAUUUGGAUCUAAGUAUCAAGCUGAUAAAAAAUGAUGGAAGCCAAUAGUUCAAAUUGAAUACACAAGUUUUAUGUACGCGGCACCAUGGACAAGGUCGGAUUUUACAUUUGUUGUGAGUAAAGUAAGUAGGUUUAUUAGCAAUUUUCAAGUUUCUUACAUUAGAAUGCCAUAAGUAGGGUUCUUGGCUACUUAAAGAAAACCAAAAAACAUUGGACUAUAAUAUACACAGUUCCUUACUAUUUUGGAAGGAUAUAUUGAUGCUAGUUAGAUAUCGAGUACGGGAGAAACAAGUCCACUUCAGGUUGGAUAUUUACUUUUGGAGGUUGAGCAGUUUUUUGGAAGUCUAGGAAACAAACAUGCAUUACUCGUUCACCAAUGAAGUCAAAGUUUGUAAUGUUGGUUGAAACUGGAAAAGAAGUUGAGUGGCAUAAAGAUUUGUUGUAUGAAAUACCUUUAAAUAUAAAGGAUAUUUCUUCAACACCUAUCUUGUAUGAUAGUCAAGCUACUCUAGCUCGAGCCUAUAGUGAAGUAUAUAAUUGAAAGUCUAGACAUUUGAUAUGAGUCUAAUACAUAAGUAUAUAAGAAAAUUAAUCAAGCAUUAAAUAAUUUCUCUUGUACUUAUUAAGUCUAGUGAUAACUUAACUGAUUAGUUUACUAAACUUCCUACAAGAGAGUUAGUAAGAUCGACAUCAAAUAGGACAAGAUUGAAACUCCUGAAUUAAUUUCACUAAUAAUAGCAACCCUACCAAAGGUAUACUACAUAAGUAUAUUUAGGUUGAAAGGGUAAUAACAAGUUAUUCGAUAAGUGGAUAGAUUUCGACACUAUUAAACUAGUAAACCCUAUCCUUAAUAAAUAGUGUUGGUUGUUAUUCUUGGAGGGAUGAGUUAUAACAAAACUCUUAAUGAAGUUCAGUACGGGGUAUAAGUAUAUCUCUAAAAGUAACAAACAUACUGGAAGAACUUCACCUAUAUGAACUUCGAGGUGGUGCCGCCUCAUUAAAGAGUUAAAGUUUUUCUUGCUUUAAAAGUUUAAUGAAAAAUGAUAAGUGUAAGGCCAUAUUAGUACUAAACAAGUUAGAGGAACUUGUGAAAAUUUAAUACUUGUGUGUGUGUGUGAUUUCAUCGGUAUUGUAACAAGAAAUAAUUGGUUCAAAGCUUUUUAACUAUCCGGAAUUUCGAUAAUGCUUUAUGAAAAUUACAUAUAGUUAGACUCAAAUCGAAAGAUAUCUAAUGAAUGUAUUUCAAUGAUACUUUAGAUACCAUCUAAACUUGAUAUUUACCUAAUUCCUAUAAGUUUAAGAGCAUUUUAAUGUGUAUUUUGCUGUAUAUAUGUUGAUGAAAUUGAUGGGAAUGUGAUUGAAAAUAAGUAUGAAAAAUAUAUUAAAGUAAAGUAAAGUAAAGGGAAUCAAGUAGGUGCUUCCCAAGAGCUCUGUUAUCUUAGCUUAAUCAGCUUAAUGAAGUAUUCGAUAAUUCUAUGAUCAAAAUCCUCUCCUGCACAACAAAUGAACUUUCAGCAUCAUUAAACCCAACAAUAACUCACAAAAUUAUCGUUCUAAGCCUUCCUUUUUGAAGUGCAUAAUAAUAUAUGUUGGACAAUUUUUAAAGAUAAAAUCGAAACUUAAUAUGUUAUCAAUACAUAUUUCAGAUUGCCGAAUUGAUCAUACAUCAAAUUGAUUUCUCAGCUAUAUCAUAAAAGGACAAUGUGUUCAAGGGGUGAGUAUUUGAAUAUAUUACGUUUCGAACUUUUGACCUAUAACUGCAUGACACACUGCCACUUGCUACAGAAAUAUAUCAGUCAUUUUCGAAAUAUUGAUUUUCUAAUAAAUGCAAAGAUGGAUAUAUUAGCAAGAAAUAUCUGUACGUCCAAGAUGGGUGUUUCCAUUCGUGGAAAGAACCUCAAAGACACCAUUGUCAAUGGUCAAGAAUUUAUAUUUAUUCCUCAAUUUGGAAGCUGGUUCUUUAUCUUCAAUUGGAAAGUUUGUUCAUGCUAGUAUGCCCUGAAUUUGAUAAAAGUUACUACUUCCCAAGAUUUAAAAGAGAAAAUAUUGUGCUGGAAAGGCUCAACUAAAUGAUGCAAUUUUAGGCAGUGUUGUGCAACUUAUGAUGGAAACAUACUGCCCUUUUUAAUAAUUAACAGCUUCCGCUUUUAUAUGAGCCAGUUAACGUUGUUGCGACCUGUUUAUUAAAAAAUGUACACGUGUCUCACUUUCAUGGGAAAAAAACACAUUGGGGCACUGAAUAUAGGAUUUAUACGAAUACGUAUGGCCAUUUUCUAACCACUUGAGCUUUUAGAUGAAAUGGUUAACAAACCAAAAACAAACUUUAGAAGAUGGAAUUAACCAAGUGGUCUCACUGUCUAAAUGCCAACUGGAAAGAUUGAUAUGUAUGGUUGUCAACAAGUAAUUGUUAUGUUAUAACGCUACUGCUUCUCAAUACGUCCUUGGCUUAUGGUUUGAUUGCUUUGGCUUCGGUGUUUGAAUUGUUAUUAAUUCGCCAAAUGAUUUCAUGAGUACUAAAUUGACUAACCUUGUCUUGUCAAACAGGUUGUCUAUCAGCAAUUUCUAUUGCGAAGGAGGAGGCCACCAAAUUGGGAACAGUCAUUGGUAUAGACCUUGGUACUACCUAUUCCUAUGUUGGUGUUUACAAGAAUGGACAUGUAGAAAUCAUAGCUAAUGACCAAGGAAAUCGAAUUACCCCAUCAUGGGUUGCAUUCACUGACACUGAAAGAUUGAUCGGUGAGGCUGCAAAGAACCAGGCAGCUGUCAACCCUGAGAGGACUGUCUUUGAUGUUAAAAGACUCAUUGGAAGAAAGUAAUUCCUUUUUGCUCAAUUUAUAACAGUAUUUUCUUCUACAUUUUGAUGAAUAAAUACUGAUUAAAGUUUUGAAUUGUUUCUUGACAGGUUCGAGGAUAAGGAAGUUCAGAGGGAUAUGAAGCUUGUUCCUUACAAAAUAGUGAAUAAAGAUGGAAAGCCUUACAUCCAAGUCAAAAUUAGGGAUGGUGAGACCAAAGUCUUCAGCCCUGAGGAAAUCAGUGCCAUGAUUUUAGGCAAGAUGAAAGAAACAGCAGAAGCAUUCCUUGGGAAGACAAUUAAGGAUGCUGUGGUAACAGUUCCUG